rnacentral:rRNA from 1 species
UACGUAGGUGACCAGCGUUGUCCGGAUUUACUGGGCGUAAAGAGCGCGCAGGCGGUCGUUCAAGUCGAGUGUGAAAGCCCCCGGCUCAACUGGGGAGGGUCAUUCGAUACUGAUCGACUCGAAGGCAGGAGAGGGAAGCGGAAUUCCCGGUGUAGUGGUGAAAUGCGUAGAUAUCGGGAGGAACACCAGUGGCGAAGGCGGCUUCCUGGCCUGUUCUUGACGCUGAGGCGCGAAAGCGUGGGGAGCGAACAGG